rnacentral:rRNA from 1 species
AUUGAACGCUGGCGGCAUGCCUUACACAUGCAAGUCGAACGGCAGCACGGGAGCUUGCUCCUGGUGGCGAGUGGCGAACGGGUGAGUAAUACAUCGGAACGUACCCUGAAGUGGGGGAUAACGUAGCGAAAGUUACGCUAAUACCGCAUAUUCUGUGAGCAGGAAAGAGGGGGAUCGCAAGACCUCUUGCUUUAGGAGCGGCCGAUGUCGGAUUAGCUAGUUGGUGAGGUAAAGGCUCACCAAGGCGACGAUCCGUAGCGGGUCUGAGAGGAUGAUCCGCCACACUGGGACUGAGACACGGCCCAGACUCCUACGGGAGGCAGCAGUGGGGAAUUUUGGACAAUGGGCGCAAGCCUGAUCCAGCCAUGCCGCGUGAGUGAAGAAGGCCUCGGUUGUAAG